rnacentral:rRNA from 1 species
AACGAACGCUGGCGGCAUGCCUAACACAUGCAAGUCGAACGAGACCUUCGGGUCUAGUGGCGCACGGGUGCGUAACGCGUGGGAACCUGCCCUUAGGUUCGGAAUAACUCCCCGAAAGGGGUGCUAAUACCGGAUAAUGUCUUCGGACCAAAGAUUUAUCGCCUUUGGAUGGGCCCGCGUUGGAUUAGCUAGUUGGUAGGGUAAAAGCCUACCAAGGCGACGAUCCAUAGCUGGUCUGAGAGGAUGAUCAGCCACACUGGGACUGAGACACGGCCCAGACUCCUACGGGAGGCAGCAGUGGGGAAUAUUGGACAAUGGGCGAAAGCCUGAUCCAGCAAUGCCGCGUGAGUGAUGAAGGCCUUAGGGUUGUAAAGCUUUUUUGCCCGGGAUGAUAAUGACAGUACCGGGAGAAUAAGCUCCGGCUAACUCCGUG